UCCGGGAUAGCUCAGUGGUAGAGCAAACGGCUGUUAACCGUUUGGUCCCUGGUUCGAGUCCAGGUCCUGGAGCCA
rnacentral:tRNA from 1 species